UACAGAGGUCUCAAGCGUUGUUCGGAUUCAUUGGGCGUAAAGGGUGCGUAGGCGGCGAGGCAAGUCAGGUGUGAAAUCUCGGGGCUCAACUCCGAAACUGCACUUGAUACUGCCUUGCUAGAGUACUGGAGAGGAGAUUGGAAUUUACGGUGUAGCAGUGAAAUGCGUAGAUAUCGUAAGGAAGACCAGUGGCGAAGGCGAAUCUCUGGACAGUUACUGACGCUGAGGUACGAAGGCCAGGGGAGCAAACGGG
rnacentral:rRNA from 1 species